rnacentral:lncRNA from 1 species
CUGGAAUGCCCCGCUGCCUGCUGGGCUGGUGGGGAGGGUGGCCAGGCCACACCUCCAAGGCUGGGAGGAGAGCUUCCGGGAAGGGAGACAACCCUUUGAGGUGGGUGCAAAGGGACUAA